ACUACGGGUGGCAGCAGUGGGGAAUAUUGGGCAAUGGGCGCAAGCCUGACCCAGCAACGCCGCGUGAAGGAAGAAGGCUUUCGGGUUGUAAACUUCUUUUCUCAGGGACGAAGAAAGUGACGGUCCCUGAGGAAUAAGCCACGGCUAACUACGUGCCAGCAGCCGCGGUAAUACGUAGGUGGCAAGCGUUAUCCGGAUUUAUUGGGUGUAAAGGGCGUGUAGGCGGGAGCGCAAGUCAGAUGUGAAAACUCAGGGCUCAACCCUGAGCCUGCAUUUGAAACUGUGUUUCUUGAGUGCUGGAGAGGCAAUCGGAAUUCCGUGUGUAGCGGUGAAAUGCGUAGAUAUACGGAGGAACACCAGUGGCGAAGGCGGAUUGCUGGACAGUAACUGACGCUGAGGCGCGAAAGCGUGGGGAGCAAACAGGAUUAGAUACCCCUGUAGUC
rnacentral:rRNA from 1 species